rnacentral:rRNA from 1 species
UAAACUAGGAUUAGAUACCCUAUUAUUAUAUGUGUUAAUUUUUAUUAGGGUAUUAAUAGUUAUGAUCUUUAAACCUAAAAAACUUGGCGGUGUUUUAGUCUAUUUAGAGGAAUUUGCUCCUUUAUCGAUAAUCCUCGUUUUAUCUUACUUUAAUAUGUUUAGUUUGUAUAUCGCCGUUAUAAGUUUAUUUUUUUAGAAUUAUUAAAAUUUACUAUAUUUUUUAUUAAAAGUUAUUUCAG